rnacentral:rRNA from 1 species
UGCAUUGUCGGGGCUACCAUGCAGUCGAGCGGUAGCACAGAGAGCUUGCUCUCGGGUGACGAGCGGCGGACGGGUGAGUAAUGUCUGGGAAACUGCCUGAUGGAGGGGGAUAACUACUGGAAACGGUAGCUAAUACCGCAUAACGUCGCAAGACCAAAGUGGGGGACCUUCGGGCCUCAUGCCAUCAGAUGUGCCCAGAUGGGAUUAGCUAGUAGGUGGGGUAACGGCUCACCUAGGCGACGAUCCCUAGCUGGUCUGAGAGGAUGACCAGCCACACUGGAACUGAGACACGGUCCAGACUCCUACGGGAGGCAGCAGUGGGGAAUAUUGCACAAUGGGCGCAAGCCUGAUGCAGCCAUGCCGCGUGUAUGAAGAAGGCCUUCGGGUUGUAAAGUACUUUCAGCGGGGAGGAAGGCGAUAAGGUUAAUAACCUUGUCGAUUGACGUUACCCGCAGAAGAAGCACCGGCUAACUCCGUGCCAGCAGCCGCGGUAAUACGGAGGGUGCAAGCGUUAAUCGGAAUUACUGGGCGUAAAGCGCACGCAGGCGGUCUGUCAAGUCGGAUGUGAAAUCCCCGGGCUCAACCUGGGAACUGCAUUCGAAACUGGCAGGCUAGAGUCUUGUAGAGGGGGGUAGAAUUCCAGGUGUAGCGGUGAAAUGCGUAGAGAUCUGGAGGAAUACCGGUGGCGAAGGCGGCCCCCUGGACAAAGACUGACGCUCAGGUGCGAAAGCGUGGGGAGCAAACAGGAUUAGAUACCCUGGUAGUCCACGCCGUAAACGAUGUCGAUUUGGAGGUUGUGCCCUUGAGGCGUGGCUUCCGGAGCUAACGCGUUAAAUCGACCGCCUGGGGAGUACGGCCGCAAGGUUAAAACUCAAAUGAAUUGACGGGGGCCCGCACAAGCGGUGGAGCAUGUGGUUUAAUUCGAUGCAACGCGAAGAACCUUACCUGGUCUUGACAUCCACAGAACUUGCCAGAGAUGGCCUUGGUGCCUUCGGGAACUGUGAGACAGGUGCUGCAUGGCUGUCGUCAGCUCGUGUUGUGAAAUGUUGGGUUAAGUCCCGCAACGAGCGCAACCCUUAUCCUUUGUUGCCAGCGGUAGCCGGAACUCAAAGGAGACUGCCAGUGAUAACUGAAGAUGUGGGGAUGACGUCAGUCAUCAUGUCCUUACGACCAGGGCUACAAACGUGCUACCA